AACGAACGCUGGCGGCAGGCUUAACACAUGCAAGUCGAACGGGCCCUUCGGGGUCAGUGGCAGACGGGUGAGUAACGCGUGGGAACGUGCCCUUCAGUUUGGGAUAACCCAGGGAAACUUGGGCUAAUACCGGAUACGUGCGAGAGCAGAAAGAUUUAUCGCUGAAGGAUCGGCCCGCGUCUGAUUAGCUGGUUGGUAGGGUAAUGGCCUACCAAGGCGACGAUCAGUAGCUGGUUGGAGAGGAUGAUCAGCCACAUUGGGACUGAGACACGGCCCAAACUCCGACGGGAGGCAGCAGUGGGGAAUAUUGGACAAGGGGCGCAAGCCUGAUCCAGCCAUGCCGCGUGAGUGAUGAAGGCCUUAGGGUUGUAAAGCUCUUUCAGUGGGGACGAUAAUGACGGUACCCGCAGAAGAAGCCCCGGCUAACUUCGUGCCAGCCGCCGCCGUAA
rnacentral:rRNA from 1 species